GUAAGGUUCGCUGACGUGGCACUA
rnacentral:siRNA from 1 species